GGGGCUUUAGCUCAGUGGCAUAAGUGCCUGCCUUGCAAGCAGGAGGUCCUGAGUUCGAUCCCCGGUACCA
rnacentral:tRNA from 1 species